AGAGUUUGAUCCUGGCUCAGGAUCAACGCUGGCGGCGUGCCUAACACAUGCAAGUCGAACGCGAAAGGGGCUUCGGCCCUGAGUAGAGUGGCAAACGGGUGAGUAACACGUGGGUGACCUGCCUCAGAGUGGGGGAUAACGUUCCGAAAGGAGCGCUAAUACCGCAUGACCUCCUGCGUUUGGAAACGCGGUGAUUAAAGCCGGGGAUCGCAAGACCUGGCGCUUGGAGAGGGGCCCGCGGCCGAUUAGCUAGUUGGUGAGGUAACGGCUCACCAAGGCAACGAUCGGUAUCCGGCCUGAGAGGGCGGACGGACACACUGGGACUGAGACACGGCCCAGACUCCUACGGGAGGCAGCAGUGGGGAAUUGUUCGCAAUGGGCGCAAGCCUGACGACGCAACGCCGCGUGGAGGAUGAAGAUCUUCGGGUCGUAAACUCCUUUCGAUCGGGAAGAACGGCUUCCGGGUGAAUAACCCGGAAGAGUGACGGUACCGAGAGAAGAAGCCUCGGCUAACUCCGUGCCAGCAGCCGCGGUAAUACGGGGGGGGCAAGCGUUGUUCGGAAUUACUGGGCGUAAAGCGCACGUAGGCGGCUUUGUAAGUUAGGGGUGAAAGCCCAAGGCUCAACCUUGGAAUUGCCCUUAAGACUGCAUCGCUAGAACGUCGGAGAGGUAAGUGGAAUUCCGAGUGUAGAGGUGAAAUUCGUAGAUAUUCGGAAGAACACCAGUGGCGAAUGCGACUUACUGGACGACCGUUGACGCUGAGGUGCGAA
rnacentral:rRNA from 1 species